UCUCUGCUGCUGCUGUUGUUUCUGGUCCAUACUUAUAUUCUUGAUUGUGGCUCUCCUCGCCGCUAUAGCCGGCACGGCUCUCUACGUCCUCUACCGUCCCCACCGCCCUGAGUUCACCGUCACCUCCUUCAAAAUCGGGAAGCUCAACCUCACCGAAAACGCCGACGGCGCCAGCUCACACCUCGUCACUCGCUUCAACCUCACUCUGGCAUCCAAAAACCCCAACAACCAUCUUAGCUUCGCAUAUGAGUCCUUCGCGCUCACUCUCUCCGCCAACAACGACGUCGUUCUCGGCAACGGCUCGAUCCCGGCCUUCUUCAGCGACACCAAGAACUUCACCUCCUUCCG
rnacentral:lncRNA from 1 species